rnacentral:tRNA from 1 species
UUGAGAGUUAGUGCAUAAACUUCGCACGCGUAAAUUUGAGUUACGAAAAGGAAGCAAUUACCUCCACUCUCAAA